CCUACGGGGUGCAGCAGUGAGGAAUAUUGGUCAAUGGCCGAGAGGCUGAACCAGCCAAGUCGCGUGAGGGAAGACGGCCCUACGGGUUGUAAACCUCUUUUGUCGGGGAGCAAAGCGAGUCACGUGUGACUCAUUGAGAGUACCCGAAGAAAAAGCAUCGGCUAACUCCGUGCCAGCAGCCGCGGUAAUACGGAGGAUGCGAGCGUUAUCCGGAUUUAUUGGGUUUAAAGGGUGCGCAGGCGGAGGUGCAAGUCAGCGGUCAAAUUGCGGGGCUCAACCCCGUACUGCCGUUGAAACUGCAUCCCUUGAGUGCGCGAGAAGUAUGCGGAAUGCGUGGUGUAGCGGUGAAAUGCAUAGAUAUCACGCAGAACUCCGAUUGCGAAGGCGACCUGCUAGAACAUAACUGACGCUGAUGCGCGAAAGCGUGGGGAGCAAACAGGAUUAGAUACCCUGGUAGUC
rnacentral:rRNA from 1 species